UUACAUUCUCGAGAAUGUGAAAUAUACCGCGCGGUGUCAACUCCCCAAAACCAUAAAACUAACUUUAUGGACCUCACGUGACUUUCUCGAGCCAGUGAGGGGUAUCUGUCUGACUUCUCGGCGAUUUUUACGAUCUAACUUCGAGAUAAAACCCCUAUCCAUUUGACAUCUAAAUGUCAUAGCGACUUUUGGGAUAGUUUGCUAACGAUAAAGGAAAAAAAAAUAAAGGGGGGGAGGGAAAAGGGGGGCGAACAGACGCUCCUGGACUCUCGACCGGUCGCCUCCCUAGCUCUCCCUCCCCCCUCCUCCCAAGUCCUGUAAGAAGUUUGGCUAAGAAGGGAGAGAUUGAGCUGGCAAGUUCCCCACCCUUAGAGAGGGUUCCAGCUCCUGCCGCCCUUUUCCGAAUCAGGGCCUCCAGGGAUCUUCCCCAAUCCAGCCUGUUUCCCGUGCCAAGUCCACCUGGACGCUUUGAAAACCCAGCUUCAGAAAAGAAAACUCUACUAGUACAAUUGAGGAGGGGGUGAAGGGGGAUUUGAACCCUCACAAGCUAUUGAGAUAGAUUUAAGAGAAUACAACCGCGUUGGGGACCAUCAGAAACAGAGCUGAGGAAAUGGGGAGCCACUAGGAGCACGGAGGCCCUCCCUGACUGACGCAUUGCGGUUGUCUCCUUGGUCUAAGGAAUCCAGGCUCUAACUGACCUCCUCCUAAAAACCCAAGUCUACUAAUUCCCACUUAGUAUUUGCUUCCUCUUUCCUUACUCUCAUUCCUCCUUUUAUUUUCUUCUUUCUUUUUUUCUUGUUUCUACCCAUUCCUCCUCCGCCCCCCCCCCCACACCCUCCUCCACACACACACACACACACCCUUGCCAAUGGAAACAUAAUGAAAUCAAAUAAAAGAAAUUAAGGCUGAAACAGAGCUUGCUCAGGAAGGCGGUUAAUAAAAGAAAGCUGGUUUGAGGUACUUGAUUUCCCCGUCUAAUUGCCUUCAUUGGUUUUCCUUACUUUGAUGUGGAACAGGAUUUGGUGCUAAUAAAAUAAGGACUUUCGGUCUGCAAUAAACUCAU